rnacentral:lncRNA from 1 species
CCAGUAUCCAAGUACCAACAGUUUUUGUCGACCUUGGCUGCAAGACACUCCUACACAAGGAAAUCAUACAAUUUUAGGUACCCAAGUUUUCUUGGGUCCUUCAUGGUUAGUAAUGUUGGUUCCUUUUGGAACCCAAACUCUUUUAAUUUUUCUUUAGUUUUUUCUUUUCUAUGAUCACACACAUUAGCUUUAUGUCCUAUUGUUCCACAGCAAAAACAGGUUAUUUUC